rnacentral:rRNA from 1 species
AACGACGGCUGGCGGCAUGCCUAAUACAUGCAAGUCGAACGAACACUUCGGUGUUAGUGGCGCACGGGUGCGUAACGCGUGGGAAUCUGCCCUUGGGUUCGGAAUAACAGUUAGAAAUGACUGCUAAUACCGGAUGAUGACGUAAGUCCAAAGAUUUAUCGCCCAGGGAUGAACCCGCGUAAGAUUAGCUAGUUGGUGAGGUAAAGGCUCACCAAGGCUACGAUCUUUAGCUGGUCUGAGAGGAUGAUCAGCCACACUGGGACUGAGACACGGCCCAGACUCCUACGGGAGGCAGCAGUAGGGAAUAUUGGACAAUGGGGGCAACCCUGAUCCAGCAAUGCCGCGUGAGUGAUGAAGGCCUUAGGGUUGUAAAGCUCUUUUACCCGGGAUGAUAAUGACAGUACCGGGAGAAUAAGCUCCGGCUAACUCCGUG